UAUCAGCGAGCAAAACCAGAAAUUGACUAAGCUGACGUUGAAUAAGCCGGAUAGUGGGUCUGCUCCUGGUCAAAAUUCUGCUCUAGGGGAAUUGUCAGAUUGCGAUGAAACAAGUUUGUCUUCUUCAUAUGAUGAAAGUAAGAGCAUGCAAGCUAAUGAAACGAGUUUGUCUUCAUCAUAUGAUGAAAGUAAGAGCUUGCAAGCUAAUGAAACGAGUUUGUCUUCGUCAUAUGAUGAAAGUAAGAGCAUGCAAGCUAACGAAACAAGUUUGUCUUCUUCAUAUGAUGAAAGUAAGACCUUGCAAGCUAACUUCACAGGCUCUAUGGAGAUAAAGGAUAAGGACUCGUACAAUUUUUAUCAGGUGAUUGCGAUGCAGAUAGUUUUAGUGAUUUGAGUUCUGUUUUAGGAAUCAGGGGAUUUCAAUUUGUGUUCUGUUCACAAUAAAUUUCCAUUUCAUUGAAUGAAACUUUUUUUCUUUUAUUCAAGAACAUGAUUUUUGCUUAGCAUGGUUGCACUAAACCUGGAUGUAGCAAGCUAUUCUUACAAUCAACAUUUUUCUUCAUCAUGGCUUGAACUUCCAAAUUAUGCAUCAGAUACAAAACAACAGACGCAAAGUUUUGUGCCCUAUGUAUUUUUGUAUUUGUUGUGGUUAUAGUCAAUAAGACGGGAUAACGCACUGUGUUAAUCAUGGAACACUUUAUGAAGUGACUGAGUAUUAGAUGUUGCUGGAAUUAAUUCCCAUAUUAUAUGUGGUUUGUUAUAUCAUAAGUACUUCUUUCAGAAGGAUAUAUAAUAAUUACUACUGGGGUAUAUCUGAUAAAUAAAAGAGAGAAUUGGUAGUAGAUCUAGAAUCAUAAAUCGACAAUAUCAUUGUA
rnacentral:lncRNA from 1 species